rnacentral:rRNA from 1 species
UCCAGACUCCUACGGGAGGCAGCAGUGAGGAAUAUUGGUCAAUGGGCGCGAGCCUGAACCAGCCAAGUAGCGUGAAGGAUGACUGCCCUACGGGUUGUAAACUUCUUUUAUAAAGGAAUAAAGUGAGGCACGUGUGCCUUUUUGUAUGUACUUUAUGAAUAAGGAUCGGCUAACUCCGUGCCAGCAGCCGCGGUAAUACGGAGGAUCCGAGCGUUAUCCGGAUUUAUUGGGUUUAAAGGGUGCGCAGGCGGCGAGUUAAGUCAGGGGUAAAAUUUCGGGGCUCAACCCCGACAAGCCGUUGAAACUGGCUUGCUAGAGUGGGCGAGAAGUAUGCGGAAUGCGUGGUGUAGCGGUGAAAUGCAUAGAUAUCACGCAGAACUCCGAUUGCGAAGGCAGCAUACCGGCGCCCAACUGACGCUCAGGCACGAAAGCGUGGGUAUCGAACAGGAUUAGAUACCCUAGUAA